rnacentral:rRNA from 1 species
UACAGAGGGGGCAAGCGUUGUUCGGAAUUACUGGGCGUAAAGGGCGCGUAGGCGGCACUGUUAGUCAGGCGUGAAAGUCCUGGGCUCAACCUGGGAACUGCGCUUGAUACGGCAGAGCUAGAGGAUGGAAGAGGCUCGCGGAAUUCCCAGUGUAGAGGUGAAAUUCGUAGAUAUUGGGAAGAACACCGGUGGCGAAGGCGGCGAGCUGGUCCAUUACUGACGCUGAGGCGCGACAGCGUGGGGAGCAAACAGG